rnacentral:rRNA from 1 species
UUCCUACGGGAGGCAGCAGUGAGGAAUAUUGCACAAUGGAGGAAACUCUGAUGCAGCAACGCCGCGUGGAGGAUGACGCAUUUCGGUGUGUAAACUCCUUUUAAGAGGGAAGAUUAUGACGGUACCUCUUGAAUAAGCACCGGCUAACUCCGUGCCAGCAGCCGCGGUAAU